rnacentral:rRNA from 1 species
CCUACGGGUGGCUGCAGUGGGGAAUAUUGGGCAAUGGGCGUAAGCCUGACCCAGCCAAGCCGCGUGAGGGAAGACUGCCCUAUGGUUUGUAAACCUCUUUUGUCAGGGAGCAACGCCGGCUGCUUGUAGCCGGACUGAGAGUGCCUGAAGAAAAAGCAUCGGCUAACUCCGUGCCAGCAGGCGCGGUAAUACGGUGGAUUCGAGGGUGACCCGGAUUUAUUGGGUGAAAGGGGUGCGUAGGCGGAAUGCCAAGUCAGCGGUAAAAUCGCGGGGCUCAACCGCGCUCCGCCGUUGAAACUGGCGUUCUUGAGUGGGCGAGAGGUAUGCGGAAUGCGUGGUGUAGCGGUGAAAUGCGUAGAUAUCAGGAAGAACUCCGAUUGCGAAGGCAGCAUACCGGCGCCCAACUGACGCUGAAGCACGAAAGCGUGGGGAUCGAACAGGAUUAGAUACCCCAGUAGUC